rnacentral:rRNA from 1 species
UACAGAGAUCUCAAGCGUUGUUCGGAUUCAUUGGGCGUAAAGGGUGCGUAGGCGGCGCGGUAAGUCGGGUGUGAAAUCUCGGAGCUUAACUUCGAAACUGCAUUCGAUACUGCCGUGCUUGAGGACUGGAGAGGAGACUGGAAUUUACGGUGUAGCGGUGAAAUGCGUAGAUAUCGUAAGGAAGACCAGUGGCGAAGGCGGGUCUCUGGACAGUUCCUGACGCUGAGGCACGAAGGCCAGGGGAGCAAACGGG